AGUAAAAUUUUAGGAUUCUAGAUUAGGGGUCCAAAGGGGACAAGACUGGAGGAAUUGGGUGUGUCUUGUCCUUUUUCUCCUUCUUCAUGCCCUCCAUGUUUCACUGUGGUGUUGGCAUUUUUCUAUUGGUUUAGGCUGGGGACACACUGUUUAACGUAGGUGACAGAUAUUGGCACAUUAUUGUAAAUCCAGCACAGGUAGUUUCUGGUAUUUAAUGUUUGUAACAUCCCACUGAGGGCAGAGCCCCACACGCUGCCCUGCAGGACAGAGCUGCGGCAGGGCAGCAGAACAUGUUAGAGAUAAACAGAAUAAACAACCUUGAAACCAGCACAGACGAAUUAUGGCUCCUUCUUUGGCAACGGGGUAGAAAGACAGAGACUUUCUACAAUCUCGGAAUCAUCAAUACCACAGAUUCCGACACUGUCCCGGCCCGCGGCAGCCCCGAGCCCUGGGGCUCUGCCCGCGGAGCGGCUCCGAGCCCUCAGCCCCGAGUCCGCACGGCCUCCCCGGCAGCUCCUGCCCUCAGCACCGACAGAACCGAACCGCCCACCGGUGGAUCCAACACAGCCGCCCCCAGCCCCGCAGAACCUCCCGUCCAUCCGUCCGUGUCUCCGCUGCCUCAGCUCCCGGCCCCGCUCGGAGAGCCCCGUCCCGCGGCGGUGCCGCCCCGAGGGCUCCGCCCCAGCGCCUUCGCGCCUCAGCGCCCCUCACGCCGCCGCCUGAGGGGCCGGGGCUGGCCGGGGCCCGGCGGAGCUCACCGGGGCAGCUCAGCGCUGCGUGCCCCGAGCCGCCCGUGCCCAGCCCUUCCCUCGGGGGCUCUCACAAGUCGGCACUAAGGUUCUCCAAAAUUAUCUCUACAACCUCAUAUUUACCCCUGAGCAAGAAGUCUCACACAGGCAGUGCCUAAUGCAAGGUAAGCCCACACUCUUAAAUUUUCUGUUUGUGUUCCUGCAGUUAAACGUUGAACGUGCCCUUAAAAUGUUAGGAAAGAUCAGACUUCCUGGAAAUUUGAUGCAUGCUGUUCAUAAUGAGUUAAAGAUUUCAGGGGAGGUGGAGUUGUUUUAGUACUCCUCAGGACUUACAGGCAUUUGGGUAUUUGCAACAAG
rnacentral:lncRNA from 1 species